AUUGAACGCUGGCGGCAGGCUUAACACAUGCAAGUCGAGCGAGCGGCGGACGGGUGAGUAAUGUAUGGGGAACUGCCCGAUAGAGGGGGAUAAAUACUGGAAACGGUGUCUAAUACCGCCAACUAUCAGAUGAACCCAUCUGGGAUUAGCUAGUAGGUGGGGUAAUGGCUCACCUAGGCGACGAUCUCUAGCUGGUCUGAGAGGAGGACCAGCAACACGGGAACGGAGAAACGGCCCAGACUCAUACGGGAGGCAGCAGUGGGGAAUAUUGGAAAAGGGGCGAAAGCCUGAGGCAGCCAUGCCGCGUGUGUGAAGAAGGCCUUGGGGUUGUAAAGUAUUUUCAGCGGGGAGGCGUUACCCGCAGAAGAAGCACCGGCUAACUCCGUGCCAGCAGCCGCGGUAAUAC
rnacentral:rRNA from 1 species